rnacentral:rRNA from 1 species
GUCUAUGGCCAUACCACCCUGAACACAUCCUAUCUCCUCUGAUCUCAGCAGCUAAGCAGGUCGGGCCUGCGUAGUACUUGAAUGGGAGAAGAGGUAUGUGUAUGUGUACC